rnacentral:rRNA from 1 species
GAUGAACGCUGGCGGCGUGCCUAAUACAUGCAAGUCGAGCGAAUGGAUUAAGAGCUUGCUCUUAUGAAGUUAGCGGCGGACGGGUGAGUAACACGUGGGUAACCUGCCCAUAAGACUGGGAUAACUCCGGGAAACCGGGGCUAAUACCGGAUAACAUUUUGAACCGCAUGGUUCGAAAUUGAAAGGCGGCUUCGGCUGUCACUUAUGGAUGGACCCGCGUCGCAUUAGCUAGUUGGUGAGGUAACGGCUCACCAAGGCAACGAUGCGUAGCCGACAUGAGAGGGUGAUCGGCCACACUGGGACUGAGACCCGGCCCAGACUCCUACGGGAGGCAGCAGUAGAGAAUCUUCCGCAAUGGACGAAAGUCUGACGGAGCAACGCCGCGUGAGUGAUGAAGGCUUUCGGGUCGUAAAACUCUGUUGUUAGGGAAGAACAAGUGCUAGUUGAAUAAGCUGGCACCUUGACGGUACCUAACCAGAAAGCCACGGCUAACUACGUGCCAGCCGCCGCGGUAA